GGAAGAAAUAAAAACCAGCAAAGAAAACAGGAAUCUUGACGAGUUUAUCGGACGAUGAGGAACUAGACUAAAAUCUGCAUUAUGGAGUGUCUGUUGCUGAAAGCUGUUGCGGCGUGACAUGCGGUAUAAUAAUUGACCGCAACAAGCAGAACAGUAAUUUAAUCUUCUGGAACAUGGCCGGAUUUUCUCGGAGCUUGGGAGCACACCCUCCGCGUGACUCGUUGCAAAAGUUUGGCACCGCAAGCCAUAUUACAUCGUUGGGUUUCGUUUUCUUUACGUUAAAUCCAGUAAAUGAGAAUUGUACGUUUCAAAGUAAAAAUUCAUCACCAUCCAAUUUUUUUGCGAUGUGACAUGAUCACGGGAUCAUCAUGCUUUAUUCAUAGCAACCCAAUCUCAUAUAAAACAGCACACAGCAGUAUAAUGUAGCGGAUAUAUAUAUGACAAAAAGAAAGAAUGCCUAACAAGAUCAACCGAUCGACCAAACGCUGUGACAGAGACUCAUCGAACCACCACCGAUCUAGCCUAGCACUAACGAAUACGGUAUGUAUGGAAGCCGAUCACCCGGGGCGAAGCGCGGCCAUCAUCUCUACUGCAGGAGCGUCGCCGCGAGCAGGGACACCAGCGCGGAGGCGACCACGGCCACGGCGGAGACCGGGGCAAGGCUAGCGGCCGCUCCGGCGUCCGGCGCGGGCGCCGGCGCCGACGAAGGAGCCGAGGAAGGCGCCAUGACGCCCUGCGCCGACGCGGAGGCGAGGAAGACGGAGGCCACGGCCAUGGCCAGGAGCAGCACGGCGGCGCGGGGAGCCAUCACACUUUCUUUUCUUCGCGGAGAUGCUGGAGAGGAAAGUUGGAGGCUUGGCGGCGUCGAGGAGAUUGAUCUGCGAGGAGGUGGUGCGGUGGAUGCUAGGGAUGGAGGGGCUUAUAUAUAGGGCCGGCGGCGUGGCGGCGUGGGCCGUGG
rnacentral:rRNA from 1 species